UACAGAGGGGGCAAGCGUUGUUCGGAAUUACUGGGCGUAAAGGGCGCGUAGGCGGCCCGCUAAGUCGAACGUGAAAUCCCCGGGCUCAACCCGGGAACUGCGUCCGAUACUGGCAGGCUUGAAUCCGGGAGAGGGAUGCGGAAUUCCAGGUGUAGCGGUGAAAUGCGUAGAUAUCUGGAGGAACACCGGUGGCGAAGGCGACAUCCUGGACCGGUAUUGACGCUGAGGCGCGAAAGCCAGGGGAGCAAACGGG
rnacentral:rRNA from 1 species